CAGUAGCCGCGGUAAUACGAAGGGGGCUAGCGUUGCUCGGAAUUACUGGGCGUAAAGGGAGCGUAGGCGGAUGUUUAAGUCAGAGGUGAAAGCCCAGGGCUCAACCUUGGAACUGCCUUUGAUACUGGACAUCUUGAGUGCGGGAGAGGUAAGCGGAACUCCGAGUGUAGAGGUGAAAUUCGUAGAUAUGCGGAGGAACACCGAUGGCGAAGGCAAUCCCCUGGGCCUGCACUGACGCUCAUGCACGAAAGCGUGGGGAGCAAACAGGAUUAGAUACCCGUGUAGUCCCUGUCUCUUAUAC
rnacentral:rRNA from 1 species